UGAAUAACCCUAUACCUUCCAAUUUGAAAUCAGAAGCAAAAAAGGCUGCCAAAAUAUUAAGAGAAUUCACAGAAAUAACUUCCAGAAAUGGACCUGAUAAGAUCAUUCCUGCUCACGUAAUUGCAAAGGCUAAAGGCCUUGCAAUUCUGUCUGUGAUCAAAGCCGGGUUCCUGGUGACUGCCAGAGGAGGCAGCGGGAUUGUAGUGGCGCGCCUUCCAGAUGGAAAGUGGUCUGCACCCUCAGCCAUUGGGAUAGCUGGCCUUGGUGGGGGAUUUGAAAUAGGAAUUGAGGUAUCAGACUUGGUGAUAAUUCUGAAUUAUGACCGUGCUGUAGAAGCUUUUGCAAAAGGUGGAAAUCUAACCCUUGGAGGGAACUUGACUGUGGCGGUUGGGCCCUUGGGAAGGAACUUGGAAGGAAAUGUGGCCCUGAGAAACUCCGAUGCCGUCUUCACCUACUGCAAGUCGAGGGGACUCUUUGCAGGCGUGUCUUUAGAAGGGAGCUGUUUGAUUGAAAG
rnacentral:sRNA from 1 species